CCUACGGGAGGCAGCAGUGAGGAAUAUUGGUCAAUGGACGAGAGUCUGAACCAGCCAAGUAGCGUGAAGGAUGACUGCCCUAUGGGUUGUAAACUUCUUUUAUAUGGGAAUAAAAUGUUCCACGUGUGGGAUUUUGUAUGUACCAUAUGAAUAAGGAUCGGCUAACUCCGUGCCAGCAGCCGCGGUAAUACGGAGGAUCCGAGCGUUAUCCGGAUUUAUUGGGUUUAAAGGGAGCGUAGGUGGAUUGUUAAGUCAGUUGUGAAAGUUUGCGGCUCAACCGUAAAAUUGCAGUUGAAACUGGCAGUCUUGAGUACAGUAGAGGUGGGCGGAAUUCGUGGUGUAGCGGUGAAAUGCUUAGAUAUCACGAAGAACUCCGAUUGCGAAGGCAGUUCACUGGACUGCAACUGACACUGAGGCUUGAAAGUGUGGGUAUCAAACAGGAUUAGAUACCCGAGUAGUC
rnacentral:rRNA from 1 species